rnacentral:rRNA from 1 species
UGUAGCUUGACAUUGGGUCUUGGUACUACAUGUACAGGAUAGGUGGGAGGCUUUGAAACCAGGACGCCAGUUUUGGCGGAGCCAUCCUUGGGAUACCACCCUUGUAGUACUGGGACUCUAACCAUAGGCCAUGAAUCUGGUCUUGGGACACUGUCAGGUGGGCAGUUUGACUGGGGCGGUCGCCUCCCAAAAGGUAACGGAGGCGCUCAAAGGUUCUCUCAGUACGGUCGGAAAUCGUACGUAGAGUGUAAAGGCAAAAGAGAGCUUGAUUGCAAGACAUACAGGUCGAGCAAGGAUGAAAAUCGGACUUAGUGAUCCGGUGGUUCUGCGUGGAAGGGCCAUCGCUCAACGGAUAAAAGCUACCCUGGGGAUAACAGGCUUAUCUCCCCCAAGAGUCCACAUCGACGGGGAGGUUUGGCACCUCGAUGUCGGCUCAUCACAUCCUGGGGCUGCAGUAGGUCCCAAGGGUUGGGCUGUUCGCCCAUUAAAGUGGUACGCGAGCUGGGUUCAGAACGUCGUGAGACAGUUCGGUCCCUAUCCGUCGCAGGCGGAG